GGAAUAUUGGACAAUGGGCGCAAGCCUGAUCCAGCAAUGCCGCGUGUGUGAAGAAGGCCUGCGGGUUGUAAAGCACUUUCAGUAGAGAAGAAACGCUUACGGUUAAUACCCGUUAGUCUGGACGUAACGUACAGAAGAAGCACCGGAUAACUCCGUGCCAGCAGCCGCGGUAAUACGGAGGGUGCGAGCGUUAAUCGGAAUUACUGGGCGUAAAGCGCGCGUAGGCGGUUUUGUAAGUCGGAUGUGAAAGCCCAGGGCUUAACCUUGGAACUGCAUUCGAUACUGCUUGACUAGAGUAUGGUAGAGGGAAGUGGAAUUUCCGGUGUAGCGGUGAAAUGCGUAGAUAUCGGAAGGAACACCAGUGGCGAAGGCGACUUCCUGGGCCAAUACUGACGCUGAGGUGCGAAAGCGUGGGGAGCAAA
rnacentral:rRNA from 1 species